UACGUAGGGGGCAAGCGUUGUCCGGAAUCAUUGGGCGUAAAGCGCGCGUAGGCGGUCCGGUAAGUCCGCUCUGAAAGUCCAGGGCUUAACCCUGGAAAGCGGGUGGAUACUGCCGGGCUUGAAUCCGGAAGAGGCGAGUGGAAUUCCUGGUGUAGCGGUGGAAUGCGCAGAUAUCAGGAGGAACACCAAUAGCGAAGGCAGCUCGCUGGGACGGUAUUGACGCUAAGGCGCGAAAGCGUGGGGAGCAAACAGG
rnacentral:rRNA from 1 species